rnacentral:lncRNA from 1 species
UCCCCGACUCCAACUGCAGGUAGACUUCAUCCGGACUCCUACGGGAGCCGGACUUCGUCUCCGACUCCAACUGCAGGUAGACUUCAUCCGGACUCCUACGGGAGCCAGACUUCAUCCCCGACUCCGGCUGCAGGAAGACUUCAUCCGGACUCCUACAGAAGCUGGACUUCAUCUCCGACUCCAACUACAGGUAGACUUCAUCCGGACUCCAAUGGGAGCCGGACUUCAUCCCCGACUCCAACUGCAGGUUCAUCCGGACUCCUACGGGAGCCGGACUUCGUCCCCGACUUGAACUGCAGGUAGACUUCAUCCGAACUUCGUCCCCGACUCCGACUGUAGGAAGACUUCAUCCGGACUCCUACGGAAGCCGGACUUCAUCCCCGACUCCAACCGCAGGCAGACUUCAUCCACACUCCUACAGGAACCGGACUUCGUCCCCAACUCUGGCUGCAGGAAGACUUCAUCCGGACUCCUACGG